UAAUCAUUUGUCUAUUAAUUGUAGACCCGUAUGAAAGGCAAAAUGAGAGUCCAACUGUCUCUUAUAACAAAUCAAUUAAACUGAUCUCCUAGUACAAAAGCUAGAAUUUCCCCAUAAGACCAGAAGACCCUGUGAAGCUUUAAUUAACUUAUUAAACCUCAUAAUAACUAAUUUCGGUUGGGGCGACCUUGGAACAAAAAAGAACUUCCAAAAAAUGACUUAUUCAUAUAAUGAGGCAAACAAGCCAUAAUUAGACCCAGUAUACCUGACAAAUGAACCAAGUUACUCCAGGGAUAACAGCGCUAUCUUCUUCAAGAGCCCAUAUCAAAAAGAAGGUUUACGACCUCGAUGUUGGAUCAGGACAUCCUAGUUAUGCAACCGUUUCUAAGGGUU
rnacentral:rRNA from 1 species